rnacentral:rRNA from 1 species
AUUGAACGCUGGCGGCAGGCCUAACACAUGCAAGUCGAACGGUAGCACAGAGGGCUUGCUCUCGGGUGACGAGUGGCGGACGGGUGAGUAACGUCUGGGAAACUGCCCGAUGGAGGGGGAUAACUACUGGAAACGGUAGCUAAUACCGCAUAACGUCGCAAGACCAAAGUGGGGGACCUUCGGGCCUCACACCAUCGGAUGUGCCCAGAUGGGAUUAGCUAGUAGGUGGGGUAAUGGCUCACCUAGGCGACGAUCCCUAGCUGGUCUGAGAGGAUGACCAGCCACACUGGAACUGGGCCACGGUCCAGACUCCUACGGAAGGCAGCAGUGGGGAAUAUUGCACAAUGGGCGCAAGCCUGAUGCAGCCAUGCCGCGUGUAUGAAGAAGGCCUUCGGGUUGUAAAGUACUUUCAGCGGGGAGGAAGGCGGUGAAGUUAAUAGCUUAACCGAUUGACGUUACCCGCAGAAGAAGCACCGGCUAACUCCGUGCCAGCCGCCGCCGUAA